UACAUGGGGUGCAAACGUUGCUCGGAAUUAUUGGGCGUAAAGCGCGCGUAGGCGGUUACUUAAGUCGGAUGUGAAAGCCCUCGGCUUAACUGAGGAAGUGCAUCCGAAACUGAGUAGCUAGAGUACGAAAGAGGGUCGCGGAAUUCCCGGUGUAGAGGUGAAAUUCGUAGAUAUCGGGAGGAACACCGGUGGCGAAGGCGGCGACCUGGGUCGAGACUGACGCUGAGGCGCGAAAGCGUGGGGAGCAAACAGG
rnacentral:rRNA from 1 species